UAAGUUUAAUGUUAGUUUAUGGUUUAGGGUAAGGACGUCCCAGGGAAUCCAGAUAGAGUGAGAGACGGGCACGGUAUUUGAGAGCACAGCAGCGACACAGACAUUCAUUUAUUUUCAAGUUUUCGAGUGUCUGCCCAAGAUAGUUUCUUUAGAGAUGAUGAAAAGAAUUACCAAGAUGUCCUUGAUCCAAUUGAGGAACUGGCGAGGCCACUUCCAAGGCGAUGAUGGAGAUCUUCAAACACCCAUGGUUCUCCUGAGGUCAUCUUGAGUGACCGAGGUCGUAAACUCUGGAACAAGCCCCUCAUCCAGGUUUGGAUGAACAGACAAACCACACCCUCAAGACUGCCAUGGGCAAGUCCCUUGACUGGCUCCAAUAAUGGUGGGAGGACAACCUGAAGGUAAUUAUCUUUGCACACAACAGCAGCAUCAAGGCCUCCAGAGUACUCACCCUAUCACCUACUGUACGGACGGGAGUUGCCGCUGUUUACUGAGGUAUACAAUGCAAUUGUAUAUAAAAUUAUUGCCUAUACUGUAGUCUAAAAAAUGUGUGAUUGACUUUGUGUAUUUCUAUUGCUAUUUUUGUAUAACGUACUUUGAGGUCACUGAUACUCCACCUGAUGUGGAAGUUGUCGUACCAGAUCAGAACACCUUCAAGGACCACCUUCAGGCACGGACUGAGAAGGAUGUGGGUUUUUUUAUACCAGGUCAACAUUAUUGUCCGCUGUUAAUUUAUUUUCAGGCCUUCCAAGAGAUACAUAAGAGAUGCAUUUGUAAUAAUAUGAAAUAUAAUUUCAUUUAUUUAAAUUAUCAAUCAAGCUGAGACUGAACAUGGACAAGGCGCAGGAGAAACAGGAGGAGGGCCACCGGAGGAGAAUCAUGGGGACCAAGUGAUUCGACAUCUGGGAGAAUGACUUGGCUUGGAAGAAAGAUGAAAGAAAGGCGAGAACUGGGAAACCUUGCUUCUCUUUCACUCCUAGCUGGGGUCACCAUCCGUUAAGGUGAAUAGAAAUUCGGCUUGUCACCAAAAGCACUCACAAACUUCUACAGAGGCACAAUCGAGAGCAUCCUGGCGGGCUGUAUCACCGCCUGGUACGGCAACUGCUCCGCCCUCAACCGUAAGGCUCUCCAGAGGGUAGUGAGGUCUGCACAACGCAUCAUCGGGGGCAAACUACCUGCCCUCCAGGACACCUACACCACCCGAUGUUACAGGAAGGCCAUAAAGAUCAUCAAGGACAUCUACCACCCGAGCCACUGCCUGUUCACCCCGCUAU